rnacentral:lncRNA from 1 species
GUGAUUUCAUAAUAACAAGGAAGUCCACAUUUGAUAAACCAUGAAGUGGAAUCAUGUAGUUCCAGUCAGAAAAGGGCUUGGCCCUUUCUACAAAGCUGAGUUACUGGGUGAAUCCUGGUUACAACUCACAACUGAGUCAAGAAGCCAAAACCAAAUUGCCAGGCCCAGGAAGCAAUCAGAACAUGAGGAAAAAGCAAAGAUAUCACUGGAAAAACAGAACACACCCAUCAACAAGAUGGCGGAGGGAUUUCAAGACCCCAGUUGGAGCCAAAGUUGGUGAAGGACAAGGAGACCCAGUUUUCAAGAACGUGAAGCACUGUAGUACAAAAGCCUGCCUAGGGACACCAGCACCUAACCCAAUAUGCUUUAACAAAUGAGUAAAGGAAGAAUGCCAAGAUUUCCAGCCUGCAAAGCUUUGCCUCUGGGGAAUCUAUGGCCUUCUUGCAAGGGAUCUUCUAGUUUAUAAGCUCACCAACAUAAUUUGAGAUCCAGUGAAAAUGCUAUUUUCACCAUAUGUAUAUGCCACCAUUUUCAAGUGUAUGUAGAUUGGUUGUGACUAAUAAAAUACAAUAAACAAAUUAUAAAUUUAUCAUUUGUAUAUGUAUUAAUAAAAUAC